GAUGAAGAACGCAGCGAAAUGCGAUAAGUAGUGUGAAUUGCAGAAUUCAGUGAAUCAUCGAAUCUUUGAACGCACAUUGCGCCCCUUGAUAUUCCAUGGGGCAUGCCUGUUCGAGCGUCAUUUGUACCUUCAAGCUUUGCUUGGUGUUGGGUGUUUGUCUCGCCUUUGCGUGUAGACUCGCCUUAAAAUAAUUGGCAGCCGGCGUAUUGAUUUCGGAGCGCAGUACAUCUCGCGCUUUGCACUCAUAACGACAGCGUCCAAAAGUACAUUUUACACUCUUGACCUCGGAUCAGGUAGGGAUACCCGCUGAACUUAAGCAUAUCAAUAAGCGGAGGA
rnacentral:misc_RNA from 1 species